CCGAGCUCUGGGAUCCACAGGACACCUGGGAACCCGCCGGAGGCCGUCGGGCUGAUGCAUUUAUACUCUGUAUGUGUCAUAGGAUGUCAUGGUGCAUUAAAAACGCAAUUAAAUACAACUUUCAACAACGGAUCUCUUGGCUCUCGCAUCGAUGAAGAACGCAGCGAAAUGCGAUAAGUAAUGUGAAUUGCAGAUUUUCAGUGAAUCAUCGAAUCUUUGAACGCACCUUGCGCUCCUUGGUAUUCCGAGGAGCAUGCCUGUUUGAGUGUCAUUAAAUCAUCAACCCCACCGAUUUGUUUCGGCUUGGGGCUUGGACUUGUAGCGUGCUGGCGAAGGUCGGCUCCUCUUUAAAUGCAUCAGCGGAAAAAUGCGCCUUUUUUUCCCUUCACCGUGAUAAUCCUGUUGCGCUGUGUGUGGGUUGAAAGUGUUCCGCUUAUAAUCGUCCUUCGGACAAAUGAACCCAUCCAUUUUUGACCUCAAAUCACGUAGGACUACCCGCUGAACUUAAGCAUAUCAA
rnacentral:rRNA from 1 species